rnacentral:rRNA from 1 species
UUAAAAAGCUCGUAGUUGAAUUUCGGGGUUAGUAGGUUGGUCAUGCCUCUGGUAUGUACUGGUCUCACUGAUUCCUCCUUCCUGAUGAACCGUAAUGCCAUUAAUUUGGUGUUGCGGGGAAUUUGGACUGUUACUUUGAAAAAAUUAGAGUGUUUAAAGCAAGCUAACGCUUGAAUACAUUAGCAUGGGAUAAUGAAAUAGGACGUUCGAUCCUAUUUUGUUGGUUUCUAGGAUUGACGUAAUGAUUAAUAGGGAUAGUUGGGGG